GGAUAGCUCAGUUGGUAGAGCAAGAGACUCUCAAUCUCAGGGCUGUGGGUUCAAGCCCCAUGUUGGGCA